UACGGAGGGGGUUAGCGUUGUUCGGAAUUACUGGGCGUAAAGCGUACGUAGGCGGAUCAGAAAGUUGGGGGUGAAAUCCCGGGGCUCAACCCCGGAACUGCCUCCGAAAACUCCUGGUCUUGAGUUCGAGAGAGGUGAGUGGAAUUCCGAGUGUAGAGGUGAAAUUCGUAGAUAUUCGGAGGAACACCAGUGGCGAAGGCGGCUACUCGCGUGC
rnacentral:rRNA from 1 species